ACCGCGUCGAUCCCCUCGUCCUCGAGCAUCCUCGGCCCCGUCGGCCCCUCGUCGAGCUCCAUUGUAAGUUGCCACUCCUUCCCCAUAUUUCUCUUAUGCCUGCAUCGCCAUAGUCGUCGUUGCGCACCACGACCGGAGCUCCGUCAUGGUCGCCCCAGGGGCUCCGCCCUCGUGCUCACCGUGCCCACAGGCACGCGCCCACUGCUGCUAGGCCACGCCCGCUGCUCCCCACACGUGCUCACGGCCCCCACCCGUGGCCCGUGCUUGCCCGCACCGCAUCCGCUUGCUGCGUCCCCCUCUUAUUGUCGUCGUUGCUGCUUGUUUCCGCCUCCCCGCGCAGCCCGCCAUGCCCGUGCAACUCGCGGCGGCUUGCCACCAGCCCCGCGUGCAGCCGCUGUUGGCCCUGCUGCUUGCUGCACACUGCUGCCCCCCUCCCCCCAGCAUGCAUCGCGCCCGCCUGCUACCUCUAGCGCCGCCGCUGGUGCUUGCUGCACUGCUACCUUCUUGAGUUGCCGCCGCCGGCAACUCACCUCACCUGCGCGCACGCAUCCUUGCUGCACUCCGGCCAGGCCCCGGCCGUGCGCGGCCACUCCCUCGCUCACCCCCGCUAGCUUCUGGCAGCCUUGCACGGCCGUGCCAUGCUGCCUUGGGCGCGUGCGUGCGCGUGUGCACACCACCGCCGGCUGGGCUGACUCCAGUAGGUCGGCCCUGUCUCAAUGACAGGUGGGCCCGGUUGAUUAGAUUAGUUUCUAAUCUUCUAACCCCUAUGAUUUAGUUAAAAGUUAGGUCUAACCCCAUAUUAGCAGAAAACCCCCUGGUUAAGGGAUAAACUAAACCUAGUGCAGAGAUAAAAAAAUAUAUAAAGAAAACAAUUUGUUUCGAUGACAAUUAGGCCCCACAUGCACAAUUCAUCGGUUGACUAGUCAUUUGUUUAUUGGGUCAACCCAGCCCACUGGCCCUACUAUCAUACACUAUGGCUAGGAUAGCACUAGGUGACAGAACUAAUUUCUGUUUUACUUUCGAAUCAAAAGAAUUCCAAAAUUUGAUUAAAACUUAAAAAAACAUAGAAAAAUAACCGUAAGUCAGAUGAAAAUAAUUUAUACAUGAAAGUUGCUCAGAACAACGAGACGAAUCCGAAUACGCAGCACAUUUGUCAGCCACAUUUCCCUAGGAUAGCAAACAUGCAACAAUCCACCUCCGUUUCAUUUGUCCAAAAAUGCUGAACACCAGGGAUACUUUCCCGGAUGUUUCCCCCUUCGCCAGUAUCACCUACUACCGCAUUAGGGCACACCUAGCACCGUUCUUUGUCAAGUCAUGCAUCAUCAUGCUUAUGUUUGCAUUAUAUUUAUUGUUUCUUCCCCCUCUUCUCUCCGGUAGACUAUGAACUGACGCCGCUGCUGCCCCGGUCUAUACGGAGUUGACGAGCCGUCCUUCUUGCCAGAGCAACCAGGCAAGCCACCCUUGAUCACCAGAUAUCGCCUAUUCCUUCCCUCUAUUGCUUGCAUUAGAUUACUGUAGCAUGUUACUGUUUCGGUUAAUCCUAUUCUGUUGCAUAGCAUAUCAUUGUUGCUACAGUUGUUGAUACCUUACCUACAAUCCUUAAUGCUUAGUAUAGGAUGCUAGUUUAUCAUCUAUGGCCCUACAUUCUUGUCCAUCUGCCUUGCUAUUCUAUCAGGUCCUGAUCACUCGGGAGGUGAUCACGGCUAUAUAUUAUACAUACAUACAUGUUAUUCAGAUGGUGACUAAAGUCGGGUCGGCUCGUAGAGUACCCGCAAGUGAUUCAGAGAUGGGGGCUGAAGGGGCAGGUUGUUCCAUCCAGGUAGUGAUGGGCCUGUGUUCCCGACAGCCCCCUGAUGGUUACUUUGUGGCGAAGCGACAGGGCAGGUUGAGACCACCUAGGUGAGAGGUGGGCCUGGCCCUAGUCCGCGUUCGCGCUUAUUUCAUAAUAAUAUGCUUAAUGAGAUCUGGUAUUUGAUCUGAGUCUGGCCACUGGCCUAUACACACAAACCAACUACACGAGGACAGUUAUGGGCACUCGACAUCGUGGUAUCAGCAGAAGCCUUCUUGACGUCAGCGACUGAGCAGCGCGCACCGGGUUGGACCAAGUAACGCAACUUCCUUUGUAAUGGUGGUUGCUAGGUCUGCUCACCGCCCGCCCUCGCAACGUGCAGGUGUGUAAUGGGCGAUGGGCCCAGACCCCUACACGCAUAGGAUUUAGUCUGGCAUGCUGACCUCUCUGUUGUGCUUAGGUAGGGCUGCGACGUGUUGAUCUUCCGAGGCCGGGCAUGACCCAGGAAAGUGUGUCCGGCCAGAGGGAUCAAGCGUGUGGGGAAAUGUAGUGCACCCCUGCAGGGAAGUUUAUCUAUUCGAAUAGUCGUGUCCCUCGGUAAAAGGAUGACCCGGAGUUGUACCUUGACCUUAUGACAACUAGAACCGGAUACUUAAUAAAACACACCCAGACAAGUUCCAGAGACAACCCGGUGAUUGCUUUCCCACAUGGCGACGAGGUGAGGAUCGCUGGGUAGGAUUAUGCUAUGCGACAAUACUUGGUGAACUUGCAAUCUACUCUCUUCUACAUGUUGCAAGAUGGAGGCUGCCAGAAGCGUAGUCUUCGAUAGGACUAGCUAUCCCCCUCUUAUUCUAGCAUUCUGCAGUUCAGUCCACCAGUAUUGCCUCUUUACACAUAUACCCAUGAAUAUGUAGUGUAGAUCCUUGCUUGCGAGUACCUUGGAUGAGUACUCACGGUUGCUUUGCUCCCGCUUUCCCCCCUUUUUCCUCUUCUUCUCGGAUGUCGCAACAAGAUGUUGGAGCCGGGGAGCCAGACGCCACCGUCGACGAUGACCCCUACUAUGCCGAGGGUGCCUACUACUACGUUUAGGUCGCUAGCGACCAGGAGUAGUUUAGGAGGAUCGCAGGCAGGAGGCAUGCGCCUCUUUCGAUCUGUAUCCCAGUUUGUGCUAGCCAUCUUAUGGCAACUUGUUUAACUUAUGUCUGUACUUAGAUAUUGUUGGUUCCGCUAACUCGUUUAUGUUCUAGCACUUAUAUUCGAGCCCUCGAGGCCCCUGGCUUGUAAUAUGAUGCUUGUAUGACUUAUUUUAUUUUUU
rnacentral:lncRNA from 1 species